AGUCACUGACAUUAGACUACCCCCGGUAGUCCAGGGUGUAAAACGCUGCAGACUUGGUGUUGGAAGCCCUUUGGGGGCAUUCAGUGCCGGAGAGAAGUUGUUAAGUCUGCUACUUGGGGAGUACGUCCGCAAAGGAUGAAACGUUAAAGGAAUUGGCGGGGGAGCACCGCAACGGGAGGAGCGUGCGGUUUAAUUGGAUUCAACACCGUAAAACUCACCAGGGAAGACUGUUACAUGAAGGCCGAGAUGAAGACUCUGCUAGAUUUUCAG
rnacentral:rRNA from 1 species